rnacentral:rRNA from 1 species
GGGACACGUGGUAUCCUGUCUGAAUAUGGGGGGACCAUCCUCCAAGGCUAAAUACUCCUGACUGACCGAUAGUGAACCAGUACCGUGAGGGAAAGGCGAAAAGAACCCCGGCGAGGGGAGUGAAAAAGAACCUGAAACCGUGUACGUACAAGCAGUGGGAGCACCUUCGGGUGUGACUGCGUACCUUUUGUAUAAUGGGUCAGCGACUUAUAUUCUGUAGCAAGGUUAACCGUAUAGGGGAGCCGCAGGGAAACCGAGUCUUAACUGGGCGUUAAGUUGCAGGGUAUAGACCCGAAACCCGGUGAUCUAGCCAUGGGCAGGUUGAAGGUUGGGUAACACUAACUGGAGGACCGAACCGACUAAUGUUGAAAAAUUAGCGGAUGACUUGUGGCUGGGGGUGAAAGGCCAAUCAAACCGGGAGAUAGCUGGUUCUCCCCGAAAGCUAUUUAGGUAGCGCCUCGUGAAUUCAUCUUCGGGGGUAGAGCACUGUUUCGGCUAGGGGGUCAUCCCGACUUACCAACCCGAUGCAAACUACGAAUACCGAAGAAUGUUAUCACGGGAGACACACGGCGGGUGCUAACGUCCGUCGUGAAGAGGGAAACAACCCAGACCGCCAGCUAAGGUCCCAAAGUCAUGGUUAAGUGGGAAACGAUGUGGGAAGGCACAGACAGCCAGGAUGUUGGCUUAGAAGCAGCCAUCAUUUAAAGAAAGCGUAAUAGCUCACUGGUCGAGUCGGCCUGCGCGGAAGAUGUAACGGGGCUAAACCAUGCACCGAAGCUGCGGCAGCGACACUAUGUGUUGUUGGGUAGGGGAGCGUUCUGUAAGCCUGCGAAGGUGUGCUGUGAGGCAUGCUGGAGGUAUCAGAAGUGCGAAUGCUGACAUAAGUAACGAUAAAGCGGGUGAAAAGCCCGCUCGCCGGAAGACCAAGGGUUCCUGUCCAACGUUAAUCGGGGCAGGGUGAGUCGACCCCUAAGGCGAGGCCGAAAGGCGUAGUCGAUGGGAAACAGGUUAAUAUUCCUGUACUUGGUGUUACUGCGAAGGGGGGACGGAGAAGGCUAUGUUAGCCGGGCGACGGUUGUCCCGGUUUAAGCAUGUAGGCUGAUUGUCCAGGCAAAUCCGGAUAAUCAAGGCUGAGGUGUGAUGACGAGGCACUACGGUGCUGAAGUAACAAAUGCCCUGCUUCCAGGAAAAGCCUCUAAGCAUCAGGUAACAU